GCGGGCGUAGUUCAAUGGUAGAACAUCAGCUUCCCAAGCUGAUAGUGCGAGUUCGAUUCUCGUCGCCCGCU
rnacentral:tRNA from 1 species